GGCAGCCUUGUCAACUUCUGUGCUACUUCUACAAUGUACUGCACUGGCCAAAAUGGCUGCCACAGUCAACCAGUAGUUCAUGGGCCUGAGCUACCUUUCCAUGGAUGCUGAGGAUGCAUUUGUGCUACGUACAAUA
ensembl:snoRNA small nucleolar RNA SNORA5